ACGGGUGAGUAACACGUGGGCAAUCUGCCCUUCACUCUGGGACAAGCCCUGGAAACGGGGUCUAAUACCGGAUAACACCUGCCCGGGCAUCUGGGUGGGUUAAAAGCUCCGGCGGUGAAGGAUGAGCCCGCGGCCUAUCAGCUUGUUGGUGAGGUAGUGGCUCACCAAGGCGACGACGGGUAGCCGGCCUGAGAGGGCGACCGGCCACACUGGGACUGAGACACGGCCCAGACUCCUACGGGAGGCAGCAGUGGGGAAUAUUGCACAAUGGGCGAAAGCCUGAUGCAGCGACGCCGCGUGAGGGAUGACGGCCUUCGGGUUGUAAACCUCUUUCAGCAGGGAAGAAGCGAAAGUGACGGUACCUGCAGAAGAAGCGCCGGCUAACUACGUGCCAGCAGCCGCGGUAAUACGUAGGGCGCAAGCGUUGUCCGGAAUUAUUGGGCGUAAAGAGCUCGUAGGCGGCUUGUCACGUCGGGUGUGAAAGCCCGGGGCUUAACCCCGGGUCUGCAUUCGAUACGGGCUAGCUAGAGUGUGGUAGGGGAGAUCGGAAUUCCUGGUGUAGCGGUGAAAUGCGCAGA
rnacentral:rRNA from 6 species